GGGUAAUAGGCCUAUGUUACAGUUUUCACUUGUACUGGACACAAUAUGUUUAUGAGUUGUGACACCAGACGUGACAGUACUUCGCUCUGUUGUCCUCAAAGGCAUUCCCAUUUUACUUUGUGACGACUCCAGUGAAUUCUUCAAGACAUGCUCUGAUACAGCGAGAGACGAGGCCCUAGAAUGCAUCACUGUUGGUGUGCUGACAGUUGUCAGUGAAGAUCGUCCUCACGAGGGUCCGAGUUCAGUGGACCUCCAGCCCAUCUCCACUGCCAUCAUUCUGGAGGGAGGUAUUGUCAUGGAUCGAAUUAAAAACUUGCCUCAGGCAGUUUGUCUGUU